AGCAUCCAUUCAGGACAACAGAGCCCACAGGUCAGCCGUAAAACAAUGUCACAUUUAGUGGUCUCUUCUGCCAACUCAUGAAGUAGUGACUCUGUAAUACAGAAUUAUCAUGUUAUCUUUCUGGUUCCUACUGAGGCCACCCGUCCACAUGAAUUCCCCCAGCCCACCAGCUUUGAGGACUUAUCCACCAUGCCCACACUCAUACGGACAGUAUCAGACCUGAGCCACAUCAGCAGGGCCACAGGGAAGAGGAAGGGCCCCUUCAGAAGGUCUCUGAGUACAGGCCGUCUGUCUGACAUGCUGCUGAAGGCUGCUUUUGGAGCUCAUCUGCUUGAUGGAGGAAGUACCAAGAGCCUUUACACUGAGAGGCCCAUGGACACCACAGUGUUGUAGAAGCUGAAAUAAAUGUAUAAGAGCAGUGUGACGUCCUGUCGGUCCCUCAACGCCCACCUGCAGAGCUUCCUCCUCAACAAGCAGAGGCUGAUGGACCACAACAUCACAGCAGAGAAACAGUGGUGGAAAAAGUACCCAAUUGUCAUACUUGAGUGCUGUCAGCAGCGCUAGAUGAGAUGUUCCACCGUGGCCAGGUGCCCAUCAAGAGAUACCACAAAGCCCUGCUGCUCAUGGAGAGUUCCUUACCAUCACAGAGCAGGCUGACAUCGACAACAUAAACUAGCACCCAACAUGCUUAGUACCACAAGGGAGAAGAAGAGGAUUGUGCGUGGUUCUGUCUGACUCCACUCUGAGAGCAGUGUGUGUUGUGGUUGUGUGUCAUGCUACAGUAUGUUCUGCCAGGCCGGUAGUAUGCUACUGUUAAUCUACUGGAUUUAUCAGGCAUCACUGGAUAGAGUAAUUAUUAUUAGUACGAUUUUGUGUAAUUCUGGGCUUUUUUUGUGUUUGGUUUUUAUAUUACUGCCUGUGGCUAUACAUUUGAAUUGACCUAUUUCUGAAAGACAAUGGUAUCAGCUUUCUGAAAUAAAAAUUAGGCACCUUUUAAAUGUCUUUGUAAAUAUGUUGAGUAAUUGUUUUGACUGUAUGUUCUUGUUCAC